rnacentral:lncRNA from 1 species
GUUGGAAAGGGCCUUAAAGUUCAUCUGUUCCACCCUUUGCCACGGCCAGGGACACCUGGGACACUAUCCCAGAUUUCUCCAAGCUCUGUCUAGCCUGGCCUUGGACACUUCCAGGGAUGGGGCAGCCACAGCUUCUCUGCUGCCAGGAUCUCACCACCCUCACAGGGAAAAAUAUUUUCUUAAUAUCCAGUCAACCCUCCCGGCUGUCAAUGUGUCAACCCAUUCCCCCCGUCCUAUCACCCCAGGCCUCUCUCUGUAAUUAGCCUUGCCCCACCUCUCCUCUAAGUUCCCUUCACCUACUGCAAGGCCACAAUUAGGUCACCCCGGAGCUUCUCUUCUCCAGGCUGAACACUCCCAAUUCUCUCAGCCUUUCCUCAUGUCAAAAUUACACCUAAAAACGGGGAGAAAAACUGUGAAAUCCCGGUAGGUUUUAAAUCAAUACUCUAAAUUCAGCUGAGGAGCGGGCCCGCCUCCAUCUCCACUGCGGGCUGCGGCACCUCAGCCCCGCCAGGCCCGAGCGGACACGGAGGGCAGAGACCGAGCGGGGACGGAACCGUGCGGGGACCCCGCGGCCCUCAGGGAGAAAACGAGGGGGCCAUGGAGGAGCAUCCCCUCAGCGCUCACCUGCCGCUCCCGCCUGGCCGCUCCGCCGCGCCCGCCCGGAGGUGACGGGACCGCGGCGCUCGGGAAGUGACGGAGCCCGGGGCGGGACGGGGCGUGCUGUGCCGGGCCCAGUUCCGCGUUGUGCCGGGCCGAGCGGAGCCGCCGGAGCGUGGAAAGUCAUUAACCCCCAGGUGAGGGGCUGUGUCACUCCAGUGUGACUCCAGUGUCACUCCAGUGUCACAUGAACCGUGCUCUCUUGCUCUGUGGGGGCAGCAGCUUUGCAAGAGGAGUCUUUGGGCUGCAGAGCUGAGGACGUGGUUGGCUCCUCCAGCACCUUCAGAUCCUGGAGAAGUGGUGGAGAGGGAAUAGCUGGGAGGAGCUGGAAGGGGUAGGUAAUGUUUCACUUCCAAACUGAUCCCAUCCUUCACCUGAAUGGGUUCCUGUGCCAGGCAGCCUUUGGCUUUUGAGGGAAAGUGCUCUCCAGGUUUCUCUGCCAGGGAAUUGUUAACUUAUUCUCUCUGUAGAGCAUUUAAUGACUGAAGAAAAACCCUUCUCUCAGAUGUGCAAUUCUUUACCUAACUGGAAAGGCUGGAUUUUAAUCCUUUUUUCUCCUUAUUGUAACUGAAGAACAGGGGUGUAGAAAAAGAAGAAGGAAUGUCAGAAAAGUUGAGGAGAAGGAAGCAACAGGAUUGGAACAUUUGGCUUUAAAUGCAAGGUCUAACUGGAAAUGAUGUGUUGCUGAGGUGGCUGGGGGAACAACAAAAUUCUUCAAGCUCUAACUCUGGUUCUGGGAGCUGUGUGAGCAGGAAGUGAUGGAGGUGAGACUCAGGGCUCUUUCAGUAAGAAGUGGUAAG